UAUCAAACGCACUAGCGCUCCUCCGUGACCUACCCUGUAGUUCCGGGCUUUUGUGGUUUCUUUUAUUGUUAAUUAUCAGAAGCUCGUUUCUAUAGAGGUAUCUCACAGGGUGAACAAUCUUCAAAACGAUAAAA
rnacentral:pre_miRNA from 11 species